GUUCAUAAUGAAUUCUGGUAGCUCUGAAAACUAAGGGUUGAUAAUCAUCAGAAUCAGAAUGAUCAGGAAUCCGUCUUGCUCUUGCAGCUAAAGGUCUGGCAGAUAAGGGCUGAUCAUCAUCAGAAUCAGAAUGGUCAGGAUUCCGUCUUGCUCUUGCAGCUAAAGGUCUGGCAGCCAAGGGCUGAUCAUCACCAGAAUCAGAAUGAUCAGGCAUCCGUCUUGCAGCCAAAGGUCUGGCAGCCAAGGGCUGAUCAUCAUCAGAAUCAGAAUGAUCAGGCAUCCGUCUUGCAGCUAAAGGUCUGGCAGCUAAGGGUUGUUCACCAUCAGAACCAGAACCAAAAGAAACCUUGCGCUUUUCCCGAAUGACCACCCUGAGGAAGAUACCAUCUCCUUCAUUAGAAACCUUGCCCUUGGGCACAAUUAAGUCAUAGCCCUUUGGUAGCCCCUCAGACAAUGAAGAGCUUGGUAUGUCACAACAAGAACUCUGGUUACUGUCGGCCACAGAGUUGUUGUAAUACAAAGCACAUCUGAACUUCGGUUCUGUGACCUUGGGUUGGACACAAAUGACAGAGACGGCAUGUCCAAAUGGCUCUGGCACCAUGUUGAACAGAAAAAAUUGGCCGUCUUCACGUCAGUGCAGAACACGUAAGCCCGGUUCAAAGUACAGACACAUAUUCACCAUGCCAGAAGCAAGGGAGGUUGAAAAUGGACACUUGUGCUGCGCAGUCAAAUGGCCCAGGAGUGCCAUUGUUGGCCCAGCGAAGCUGCAGCCGGACUCUGGGCAGAAGCAUGGGGCUUUCGGGCAUGCCUUCUCAUGUUCUUCCUUCUGGUAGUAGGUGACCUGCUCGGUGCAUCCAUACUUGGCAUUGGAGCAAAGAACUGUGACUGACCUGACGACAUGCUCCAUCCCAAAGCAACGCUCAAAGGAAGUUUCGACAACGCAUAAGUGGCAUUUCUUGUCCAGGAUCUCGCAACGGCAAGACAAGCAUAGAAAAUGCCCCAAAGAACACUG
rnacentral:lncRNA from 1 species